rnacentral:rRNA from 1 species
GAUGAACGCUGGCGGCGUGCCUAAUACAUGCAAGUCGAGCGAACAGACGAUGAUCUUGCUCCUCUGACGUUAGCGGCGGACGGGUGAGUAACACGUGGAUAACCUACCUAUAAGACUGGGAUAACUUCGGGAAACCGGAGCUAAUACCGGAUAACAUGUUGAACCGCAUGGUUCAACAGUGAAAGACGGUUUUGCUGUCACUUAUAGAUGGAUCCGCGCCGCAUUAGCUAGUUGGUAAGGUAACGGCUUACCAAGGCCACGAUGCGUAGCCGACCUGAGAGGGUGAUAGGCGACACUGGAACUGAGACACGGUCCAGAGUCCUAAGGGAGGCAGCAGUAGGGAAUCUUCCGCAAUGGGCGAAAGCAUGACGGAGCAACGCCGCGUGAGUGAAGAAGGUCUUCGGAUCGUAAAACUCUGUUAUUAGGGAAGAACAAAUGUGUAAGUAAAUAUGCACGUAUUGACGGUACCUAAUCAGAAAGCCACGGCUAACUACGUG